UACGUAGGGGGCAAGCGUUGUCCGGAUUUAUUGGGCGUAAAGAGCGUGUAGGCGGCUAGGUAGGUGGGUUGUGAAAACUGGAGGCUCAACCUUCAGACGUCGACCCAAACCCCCUGGCUAGAGUCCGGAAGAGGAGAGUGGAAUUCCUGGUGUAGCGGUGAAAUGCGUAGAGAUCCGGAAGAACACCGGUGGCGAAGGCGGCCUGCUGGGCAGUGGCUGACACUGAGGCGCGACAGCGUGGGGAGCAAACAGG
rnacentral:rRNA from 1 species